rnacentral:lncRNA from 1 species
GGAACAGCCGAGCACCCCGGGAGACACGGCGCUCUCCCUGACAGUUUCAAGAAACUCCGCGUCUGCUGCAUGCAGAAGAGGGGAGCGCACCUCGACAAAUUCCCGGUAGUGAAUGAAGCCUUGGCGAUCCUCGUGAGCAGCGGACGCGAGGAGGAGCAACAAGUCCCAGCGCUGGAGCCCCAAGGGGGAGGCGAGUAGCAGCAUCGAAGACCUUUUGCAGAACUUGCUCCAGAGGCAGUUCCUCUUGGGGAACCUCAAAGAGCAUGCGCGGGGUGAAAACGUCUGUUCCACUGGAUCUCGCUUCUCGCUCCCGCCUCCUUGCUGCCUCAGUCGACGCCGCCGCUAGGGCCUCUCGCCUCGCAUUCGCUUGCGCCUCAUGCUCUGCCUGUUGCUCCGCACGAAUGCAUGCAUCCUUCUGCUCCUGAAGUAGCUUCUGGAUGGGAGUCCCCGAAACGUUCAUCCGGCUGAUUUCGAAGCUGAUUGGCCAGCGUGCAUGCACGCAGAAGAGGCAAACCCAUGUCUCAUUGUGCUGACAUCCUGUGUAAAAAUCUACACGUGGCUAUGCUCCAUGAGGCUCACCCUAGCCAUGUAUAUCUACAUAUACAACUCAAAUAUAUAUAUAUAUAUAUAUAUAUAUUGGGAAGAUGGAGAAACUGUGUCAGACAAUGGGAGGAAGCGAAUGCACGGGGAGACAUUGCCGGACGAAGAGAAGAACGUGCUUGUUGUUUCGUUGUUCAGGGUGUCUUUGUACAGAAGGAGCCGGCCAGCGCCUCUCCUGACAGCUCACUUAGCGUGUGGCCCUCUUUGUGUCGCGGAAAACACCCGCCAUGCACCUCAAAAAAAACUCCACCCUUACGCGGUCCUCAUCCUGUGUUGACGCCGCAGCUGAAGCUUGUCUUGCACAAUCCUGCAAACUCGCACGAAAAAGACAAUGCAAAAGGGGAAAGCUCCCGUACCCCGGUGUCUCCUCUCCAUGGACUCAGCGCCCGUGUCGAUCCAUUAAAAUGUAUGUAUGUAUAUGUAUGUAUAUAUGUAUGUAUGUAUGUAUAUAUAUAUAUAUAUAUAUAUGCACACGUAUACAUGUAUAUGCACGGACACGCAUGCCCAUCCGCAUUUCGGAAGGUGUGGAUUCCAGCGUUUUGCCGGCGGGGAUGGUGCUGUGCGGCAUCUGCGACUCAACUAGCCUUCCUCUCUUCCACACUGAAUAAACUUCUGUCGCCUCGUGACUCGCAUUUUGGACGAGGACCACGCGGCAGCUGGAGCUCGGCGUCUAUCAUCCCCUCGGACCGCUGAGGGGUGUGCAGAAGUUGUUCACGCCGAGCCAUCCCUACGGGCACCCGUAGCCCGUAACGUUCUCUAGCAGACGGCGUGCAAAACAACUCUACGUUUUGUGCGGUUUGAGCCGUACCGGUCGAUCCAAC